CUUUAGGAAGUUAAUAUAAAGUCGGACCUGCUCACUGAAUAAUUAAAGAGCCGCGGUAUUUUGACCGUGCAAAGGUAGCAUAAUCAAUAGUCUUUUAAUUGAGGACUGGAAUGAAUGGUUUGACGAAAUAAUAACUGUCUUAAUUUAAAUUAUUGAAAUUUAUUUUUAAGUUAAAAAGCUUAAAUAUAUGAGUGGGACGAGAAGACCCUAUAGAUUUUAAUAAAUUAAUUUUUAAUAUUAGGUAAUAAUUUAUAAAUUAUUUUAUUUGAUUGGGGUGAUGGAAGAAUAAAAAAACUUCUUUUUAAAAAAACAAAAAUAAAUGGUUUAAUGAUCUUUUUUUAGGAAUAAUAAGAUUAAAAUACCUUAGGGAUAACAGCGUAAUUUUGUUUGAGAGUUCAAAUCGAUAAUGGAGAUUGCGACCUCGAUGUUGGAUUAAGAAUAUUUUUUGGUGCAGUAAUUAAAAUAAUAAGUCUGUUC
rnacentral:rRNA from 1 species